GUGACUGAGUGUAUAAUAGAGCUCCACAGUAAUAAUACUCCCAGUAAUGUGUCGGGUGGUAGGGUGAAAACCGGUGUCUAAAAGGAAGAAAUGGAGCGUGGGAGGUAAACCAUGAAAUGGGGAGCUGGAGGAAACUGGGGAACAGAGAAUAUGAAUUUCUAAAAACAUUUACUUUGCUGGAGGAAGCCACAUCUUAGAGCUGAAAACUUGUCUUCCAUGUAUGUCUUGCAGGAUGGGCCAUGUAUGUCUUCCAUGUAUGUCUUGCAGGAUGGGCCAUGUAUGUCUUCCAUGUAUGUCUUGCAGGAUGGGCCAGGUAUGUCUUCCAUGUAUGUCUUGCAGCCAAUGACCUCACUAAAGUGACAUGAAAGUGACCUUAUGGCCAACGGGCCCCUAGGGCACUACAUUCAGAGGGUUCAUUUACAGCACUGAAGGCACAGUCACAGCAAGGACGGUUCAUGUGUUCCUUUGUUCUGUUUUG